rnacentral:rRNA from 1 species
UACAGGGGGUGCAAACGUUGCUCGGAAUCAUUGGGCGUAAAGCGCACGUAGGCGGUCUGUUAUGUCGGAUGUGAAAGCCCUUGGCUCAACUGAGGAAGUGCAUCCGAAACUGGCAGGCUAGAGUACGAAAGAGGGUCGCGGAAUUCCCGGUGUAGAGGUGAAAUUCGUAGAUAUCGGGAGGAACACCGGUGGCGAAGGCGGCGUCCUGGACCAACACUGACACUGAUGAGCGAAAGCCAGGGGAGCAAACGGG